GCACUGGGGUGGAGCUGUGCCUUCCUGGGGCUUUCCUGCUUACAGUCUGCCCUUUCCAGGGUGGAGGUGACAGCCACAGAGAGUCUCUGCUCUUUAUCCACAGGCAGUCAGCUUCUGGCUCUUCAUUUGGCCAAAAUGGUCUCCUUUUAAGAUCCUGAAAACAUCUGCUGGAUAAAGCCCCCUGGAGAGAGGGCAGCUGGCAGCUCCUCCUCCACCCCAGCACUGCCAGCCCUGUUUGCUUCUCUUUCAGUGCCUGUUGGGUUUGCUCAGCCUGGUUUUUGGUAGCAGGAGGGUCACAGAGGUGGCUCCUGUGGGGAGCUGCUGGGAGCUUCCAGCAUGCCCAGCAGAGCCAGUCCCUGAUGGCUCUGAAGAUGGACAUGCUGCUGGCCAAAGCUGGGCCAGUUAGAGAGUCAGACAAGAGGACUAGAUGAGAACUUGUGAGGGAAACAACGUGGAGACACCAAGGAGAAGGAGGGAAGGAGGAGCAGGAGAUGCUCCAGGUGCCAGAGCUGAGGAUUCCUCUGCAGGCUGUGGUGAGGCAGCUGUGUCCCUGCAGCCUGUGGGGAUCCAUGGGGGAUGCAGAGAUUCAUCCACAGGCCAUGACGAUCCACCAAGGACGCUAAGAUCCACGGGGGAUGCAGAGAUCCACCCACAGCCCCUAGCUGAGGUGCCUGGAGAAGGCUGUGAUCCAGUGGAAGACUCGGUGGAGACAGGACUCUUGCUCCCAGGCUGGAGCAGCCUGUCCUUGGAGGACUGCACCCCUGGAAAGAGCAGUUUUGGGAGCACUGCUGCUCCUGAGAGAGGAGCCAUGCUGGAGAAGUUAAUGGAGAACUGCCUCCCAUGGGAGGGACCCCACAGUCUCACAGGAGAAGGAUUCCUUUCCCCAAGAGUAGAAGAAAAUCCAGGGUGACAAACUCACCAAAAUUCUCAUGCCUUUUCCCCUGGGAUGGGAGGAAAAAAGGUGUUUUAAGGGCUUAUUUUACUUCUUAAAGGGCUUAUUAUCCUCCUCUGAUCCUGUUAGCAAUAAAUUCACUUUAUGCUUUAAAGCA